UUUCUACAUUAUAAAGUGUCAAAUAAUAUUUUCAUUGUUGGGUAAAAAUGAGAAAAGAUAUGGAUGAAAUUCUCAAUUUUGUUUUUGUUAGGAUCCUCUUUUAUCUAUUUCUUUUUGUAACGGUUUCUGUUUCAUCUAAAGUGUGUGAGUACAACCGCGAUUGUUAUGAUUAUUAUUGUGAUGAUCCUAGUGGUAUUCGAAGAUGCAUCAAAUAUCAAUGUCACUGCAUAUACAGGACCUAAAGCAGGAUAGCUAUGGACAUGUCUAUGGUACACCGAACCAACUUAUUGGUUUAGUUUGUGAAUCUGUUGAUUAUUUUCAUACUCGUUUCACACCAUAUCUAUACACAUAUUAUCUUCAAAUGUUCAAUGAAGCUUAAUAUCAUUUGAUCUAUGGUGACUCCAUAAAAACACUAACUUAAUAGUGCUUUCUUAAAAAGCAGUAUUAAAUUUUUCACACAAAAACUUAAAAUAGAGCAUUUUUGGGAGUAUUUUAUAGGUUCAUCCCUAAUAUGCCGUUGUUCUAAUAUACACUUUUACGGGAUGCUAACAACGAAAAUAAAACAGGAGUAAGUUGUAUUGUUUAUAAGAUUUGUAAUGAAUUUUUGGGUUAAUAUAAAUUGAUUGGUUGUUUCUUAUAUGCAAUAAAAUUGUUAUUUAGUAUUUGAUAUUGAAUGUAUUUCUUUUGAUAUUUGCAUUUUGAAAAGAAUGAUGGUAAUGUUCUUGUUGUUGUAUUAAGUUACAAAACCUCUCAUAAUAAUUUUGUAAGUGGGACUAAAAAAAAGAGGGCCUUUAAUAGAGUUUAAUAAAAUGCUCACAGAUAGGUUUGCUUUUUUAUUUUUAAAUAUUAAAUCAUGUUUUAAAAAAAUGUUUUUAGUAGCGUCUUAUGAGGAGUGUUAUUGAAUAUAUGACGUUUGAUUGCUUAUAGGUUGGCCAUUUAUAAUAGUGGGGACUUUUUUUUUUGACGGAAAACGAUUAAUUCAUUUCAUUAAUAAUAAUAUUCUGAAUACAUGCUGGACUAUCAAAGAAAUUAUGAAAACUAGCAAGAGAUGGAGCCACCCGUGCAAGAGCAUGAGCAACCUCAUUAGCUUGUCUUCGGACGAACUUAACAUGAGAGUUCCUAAAGAAAAGAGCCAUCAACCGAUUACAUUCUCCAAUAAUAGCUCCAAGAUCCGAGUCAUCUGGUUUCGGAAUGGUCACGCUAUCCACCACUCGCUUGGCAUCUAAUUCAAAAUCCAUAUUAUCGUACCCCAAACCAUGGACCCAAUUUAAAGCUAUCAAAAGACCUAGGGCUUCUCCAAUAACAACAUCGGUACAAGGCGUAAACCAUUCUGUCCGGGCUAUAACGAAUUUACCCGUGUCAUCUCUAAUGCAAGCACCCAAACCCACCUUAAUUUGUGAAAAAGCCGCAUCAAUAUUGCAUUUGAACCUGCCCCUCUGAGGUUUUUCCCAUCUGAUAACACCUGACGGGGAAUUUAUAAUCCCAUUAUUGGGACGCUGUUGCUGGGCCUCUCUCCAAUCGGUCAAUAACAGAUAAGUCCGCUGACAUAUAUGCAUCGGAGAGUCUUCCACCUGGUUCCAGAAAUGAUUAUUUCUCCCUUUCCAGAUACUCCAUAAGGAUACUGAGAAAAGCGCUUUUUGGUCUUGAUUAGAUACCUGCAAAACGAAGAAAAUAACAGACACAAAUGACUCGCCAUUACCACUGAGUUGCUGUAACAUAGACCACAAUCCCACUUUUUUCCAACACUCGAUGCUUUUAGUACACUGGAGAAAAAGGUGAUAAUUGUUCUCUUCGCCUACUCCACACGCUAAACAAUUUGGGAAUAAUCUCCUUCUAGUAGGCACACAGUCUCUACACAAACGCCACAUGAAA